CACACCUCGCCCACGCCACCGAUCAAGAACGCCGCGUUACCUACACCAUCUAAACACCGCAAAACGCCAAGGCCCUCACACACGACCAUCGUAGCUUGGUUCACACGAAGAUCAGCCGUUGCACUAUCACUUGGGGUGGUGUAGAGAGGCCUCCGAAUAUUCUGCCUAAAUCCAGCGUAAUUGCCAAUCUACAGCGGGAUUACGUCAUUCCGCCCAGCUGUCAUAAGAUAAAACCACCAACAAGAGCAGGAGAGGAGGCUGGGCAGCGAUACGGCGGCUGGACGCUAAGAAAACUCAUCGUAUAGGAAGGAAAAUAAGGAAAUCAUUUCAUUCUGUGUGGCCAUUAAUGCAGCAACCCCCUACCACCCCCUCAACCCGUUCGGCGCUCCGGCACACCAGGCUUAAAAAAAAAAAAAAAAACGCACCUACCAAAACGCACACCCCUUAAAAAAGCGUCAAAAAUUCUAACAUCUCCCCCAUCGUCCAGAAAAAAAUAGAAAAAAAAGGAAGUGAAUUUUCCCGACUCCCCCGUGCAAUUUUGCUAUCACUAUGUAUAUCAGGCUUACGACACAAACACCCCCAUAAAACAAAACAUUAAGAGGAACACACGAUUAUGACACUUCAAGGGCUAAAGAUAAGCGAGCGUAAAAAUAGAGUGUGUGCUGCGCCCGUUUUGUCACUGGCCAGUUAUUAGACGGCGGGAACAAGCGACCGAGAUGGAGACCUCAAAACGCCUCCACCGGGAACACACACUUGUUAUUAUUAUUUUCCCGCCGCCUAGUAUCACAGCAGUUUUUUCCUUCAGUAUGUUUAUGGCCUAAUGUGUCGAUUACGGGAAGUUUUCUUUAUACAUAUCUUUUUUUUCUCAGGGACAGAGGCCGUUUUGGUGUAAUUAUAAUCACAUCCAUUAUGUCAUCAAGCAUUACUGGCCGCCAUUCGUGUUUGCUUUCCAUUCAUGUUUCAUAAUUACAGGUUUUUAUCGAAUGAAAAAAAAAAAAGUCCAGCAGGCUUGAUUAUUAAGCAAUUUGGGGACCGCGUGGCAGCCGCGUCGGGCCGCCUCCUCGGUAAUACAGUCAUUAUUUCCAUAGGCCCAUUCCUGCCCCACUUUCAGAAGAGAGCGAUAACCGGACAGAGUUAACACAUUUUUACACCGGACAUUCACAUAACUGAUCGGCCGCUGGGUAGCCAUGUUAGCAGUAAACACAAACACCCUGCCGGCAUUACUACACCCAAAACAGGAGAAAUUCCAAUAAAAAUAGUAUAAACGGCUACCAUGAGCUUGCCCUCCCCCCUCCCUCCCUGCCCCACGAAACAGAGGUCUGUAAGAGCGAGAGGAGGGACCGAGAGGGAGGGAUAGAGAGAGAAGGGUAAACCAGAGGCCGUCCUGACCACCACGACCACCGCCACCACAGAGCCUCGCCUCAAUACCCCACCCCACCCGGCCGCCACCGCCGUCGCUGCUGCCGCCGCUGGCCGCCGCCACCACCACCUCCCGCCAUGUUCUAGUGGACGCUUACCCCGCGGCGGCUGGGGGACGCCACAGUUCUCCCCUCCAUUCCGCUCGCCCUGUGGCGUCUCUCCGGGGCGGACAGGGUGAGAGGAGGCCACACCGAAGAUCCUGACAACGCACUCCCACCUCGAUACACCGUCCAAGACCCCUCCGUCCAACGUCCAGCAGGAGCGACUCGCCCUCUGUGUGACAGGUCAAGCCAGAGUUCCCGAAACGAAGGAGGAGGAGAUAUCGUGACCCAGGGACGCGCACGAGUGAUUGGAUCCUGAAGAAGUGGUGCAGCCAAUCAGGGCAGCGGCAGGGAAGGAUCAGUGACCAUGGCAGAAGAGAGCUCCUCCCAUUCGGCCUCCAUCUCACCACUCCCUCCCGGCGUGUCUUCGCGCCUCCUGCCUCUUCCCGGCCUCUUCUUUCCUCAAGUCAAGUGUCGGAACACCCCGCAGAGUCAACAGUGGGGUAACUCCAGGCCAGAUAUGGGCCGAGAUAAGUCAAUAAAGUCGCACUCGUAGCCAGCCGACCGCAGACAGAUGAGAAUAUUUACGGAGAAUUAAUUUUCUUACCCUCUGGCCUGCCAUUUGAAGAUGCUUGUCGUUUUAAAAAGUCUUAGAGAGGCUGAAAGAGAGUACUGUGGCUUUGUUGAUAUCUUUCCUCAUCUAGUAUCCUGCCUUGACAUCUCAGCCCGUGAUGAGACGUAUAAAUAUUUCGCCCUGACACUAAUGUUCUCUCAAACACCCGAAGCAGCUGCAGGGCGAGGAGAAGGAGAUAAGACCACCAAUACACUUUAUUAAUCCUUCUUUAUCCCUGCACCCGAAUUUAGAGCCGCUGCACAAUGUCCUGAGAGCGUCUCGAGCCAAGAGGGUUAGCGCUACACAUCGAUUAUCAGCUUAUGUAGCCAAACGGCUCACUUUGUUUAUUUGCUCAAGAUUUUGACGAUUGUUUAAUAUGAUAAAGAACUGUAAUUCUUCCUAGUGAAAAUAUGCUGUCCAUUGCUUUUCUUUUCCUACUGAAGUGAAAGAAUAUAUCCAUACGUAGUAACUUUCUAAUUAUUCUUGUGUCUUUAUUUAAUGGUAAGCUAGCAUAGACAUUAAUGACUAACACAAAAUAGAUAUGACAUUUUUCCAUGUCUGCAACGUUUUCCUUUUUUUUCUUUUUUUUCAAGAAUUACUUGAGAAGUAGGGAAUUUUUUUUUUCACAUAUGGGUGACAUUUUGUGAUUUAAAUGUGGGCCAUUUUAGCUGAGUCCGCCCUUACCUAGACUCAUCCCCGUACUGUAUUGCUAGGUUCAGGUGCACGACGCUUUAUUGCCCAGGUACAGGAUCACGAAAAAUACUAAUCGACAGUCACACAUAAAUUGCUCACGCGUCCCAAUCUUCAGUAAAUAAUGGUGCGUGUCUGCCGCUGUGGUCAAUACCAAAUUUUUCUUUUAAUGCUAGGGCGGCGGCGCGUAUACCCGAGGCCGAGUCCCAGGUAUUCCACUGUGAAUAAAUAUAAAAGAUUUACUCGAGCCAGACAUGCAGAUCUGCCAAACGUUGCCUGGAUCCAUACGGCUCGUGUUUCAUGGUCAAUAAUUCUGGUUAUACUUACGAGCUGGACUUCUGGUGUGUAAUUGAUUAAGGAACAUAAAUCUUUAAGGCGAUAGUAGGUAGAGUAUUUGUGCAUGGGAAGGUAGUGUAAGAUUUUAAUAUUUUAGCGCGAGGGAGCAGGAAGGGAAACUGCUGCUCCCUUAAGGCAUUCCUCUAUUAACGAAUUAUUCGGAUAAUAAUUAUAAAAUUAAUUACAUAAUUACCUGUAAUUUAAUUAUUAUAUUAUGUAGGUAAAUAGAAAAUGGCACAGCUAUAAACUGGAUUAAAUUUUGUCAAUGUUUAUAGGACAAGGUCCAGACAGGUCGUGGAGGACGGCUUGUUAGGAGCUUAGGCGUCGUAGAAAAUGGACAUCAAGCUUAUCAAUGGUGUCAAGAAAUAUUAAUACAUA